AUUGAACGCUGGCGGCAGGCCUAACACAUGCAAGUCGAGCGGAUGAAGGGAGCUUGCUCCUGGAUUCAGCGGCGGACGGGUGCGUAAUGCCUAGGAAUCUGCCUGGGAGUGGGGGAUAACGUCCGGAAACGGGCGCUAAUACCGCAUACGCACUGAGGGAGAAAGUGGGGGAUCUUCAGACCUCACGCUAUCAGAUGAGCCUAGGUCGGAUUAGCUAGUUGGUGGGGUAAAGGCCUACCCAGGCGACGAUCCGUAACUGGUCUGAGAGGAUGAUCAGUCACACUGGAACUGAGACACAGUCCAGACUCCUACGGGAGGCAGCAGUGGGGAAUAUUGGACAAUGGGCGCAAGCCUGAUCCAGCCAUGCCGCGUGUGUGAAGAAGGUCUUCGGAUUGUAAAGCACUUUAAGUUGGGAGGAAGGGCAGUAAGUUAAUACCUUGCUGUUUUGACGUUACCAACAGAAUAAGCACCGGCUAACUUCGUG
rnacentral:rRNA from 1 species